GGAUCAUUACCGAGUUAGGGUUUCCCUUCCAGGAGCCCGAACCUCCCAACCCUUUGUUUAAAUUACCUUGUCGUUGCUUCGGCGGACCGGUUGACCAACUGGUUUUGACCGCCGGGGGGGGGUCUUCACCCCCCUGGAGAGUGUCCGCCGAUGGCCCAACCUCACAACUCUUGUACCAAACCAUGUCGUCUGAAUGUACUUGAUUGAAGAAUCGAAAAACAAAACUUUCAACAACGGAUCUCUUGGUUCUGGCAUCGAUGAAGAACGCAGCGAAAUGCGAUAAGUAAUGCGAAUUGCAGAAUUUCCGUGAGUCAUCGAAUCUUUGAACGCACAUUGCGCCCACUGGUAUUCCGGUGGGCAUGCCUGUUCGAGCGUCAUUAUCCUCCCUCAAACCCCGGGUUUGGUGUUGGACCCAAGUUGUGCAUCUGAACAACUGGUCUCAAAGACAAUGACGGCGUCCGUGGGACCCUCGGUGCAACGAGCUUCUAAGGAGCACGCGUCGAGUUUCAAGGUCCUUCCGGGCCGGUCUCCUUUACAAUUUAUCACAAGGUUGACCUCGGAUCAGGUAGGAAUACCCGCUGAACUUAAGCAUAUCAAUAAGCGGAGGAAAAGAAACCAACAGGGAUUGCCUCAGUAACGGCGAGUGAAGCGGCAACAGCUCAAAUUUGAAAUCUGGCCUUUACGGUCCGAGUUGUAAUUUGUAGAGGAUGUUUUGGGUACCGCCCCGGUUUAAAUUUCUUGGAACAGAAUGUCGCAGAGGGUGAGAAUCCCGUCUUGGACCGUGGUAGGGCCUGUGUAAAACUCCUUCGACGAGUCGACUUGUUUGGGAAUGCAGGUCAAAAUGGGUGGUAAAUUUCAUCUAAAGCUAAAUAUUGGCCAGAGACCGAUAGCGCACAAGUAGAGUGAUCGAAAGAUGAAAAGCACUUUGAAAAGAGAGUUAAACAGUAUGUGAAAUUGUUGAAAGGGAAGCGCUGGCAACCAGACUCGUGCGCGGGGUUCCCCCUUGCUUCUGCUUGGGUCACUUCCCCGUGUCCGGGCCAUCAUCAGUUUCGGGGGCCGGUUAAAGGCCUUGGGAAUGUAUCCACGCCUUCGGGGGUGGACUUAUAGCCCAGGGUGUCAUGCGGCCACCCGGGACUGAGGAACGC
rnacentral:rRNA from 1 species